rnacentral:rRNA from 1 species
UACGAAGGGGGCUAGCGUUGUUCGGAAUUACUGGGCGUAAAGCGCGUGUAGGCGGGUCUUAAGUCAGGGGUGAAAUGCCAGGGCUCAACCUUGGAACUGCCUUUGAUACUGGAGACCUUGAGUCCGGGAGAGGUGAGUGGAAUUGCGAGUGUAGAGGUGAAAUUCGUAGAUAUUCGCAAGAACACCAGUGGCGAAGGCGGCUCACUGGCCCGGAACUGACGCUGAGACGCGAAAGCGUGGGGAGCAAACAGGGAUUAAGAAUACCCCCUGUAGCUCCAGAAC